rnacentral:rRNA from 1 species
UGCAAGUCGUACGCUUCUUUUUCCACCGGAGCUUGCUCCACCGGAAAAAGAAGAGUGGCGAACGGGUGAGUAACACGUGGGUAACCUGCCCAUCAGAAGGGGAUAACACUUGGAAACAGGUGCUAAUACCGUAUAACAAUCGAAACCGCAUGGUUUUGAUUUGAAAGGCGCUUUCGGGUGUCGCUGAUGGAUGGACCCGCGGUGCAUUAGCUAGUUGGUGAGGUAACGGCUCACCAAGGCUACGAUGCAUAGCCGACCUGAGAGGGUGAUCGGCCACAUUGGGACUGAGACACGGCCCAAACUCCUACGGGAGGCAGCAGUAGGGAAUCUUCGGCAAUGGACGAAAGUCUGACCGAGCAACGCCGCGUGAGUGAAGAAGGUUUUCGGAUCGUAAAACUCUGUUGUUAGAGAAGAACAAGGAUGAGAGUAACUGUUCAUCCCUUGACGGUAUCUAACCAGAAAGCCACGGCUAACUACGUGCCAGCAGCCGCGGUAAUACGUAGGUGGCAAGCGUUGUCCGGAUUU